GUGAGAUGGUUCAGUGGUUAAGAGCAUGGGCUCUUUUCCCAGAAGACCUGGGUUCAAUUCCCAGUACCCACA
rnacentral:tRNA from 1 species